UGGUGAGCUAGAGCUUUGCCAGGCUGUAAUAAAGCAUGGGCGACCCUUUGCCAGACGUGCUCUUCCCUCUCUAUUUAAAGAUGCUCUUUAUCCCCCAGACUUCAUGAGGUGUUGUCUGGAAAGGCUCGCUGUGCAGAUCAGUCUUUACUCUAAGCCUCCUUUGAUACACUUUGCUUAGGGGGGGGGUUCCACAGUUACUGCAAGAGUCAGUGAUCUCGAUGUUUAACAGUUUUAUUGUUUCAGGCGAGAAUCCACUUCUCUGAAUGCAUCAAGCCUCAACCAUUUGUAUGUAUGUGUGAAGGUCAGUGGGCUUGUCAAAUACCCUAUUGUAAAUCCUGUCACUAAAUCAAUUUCUUUUAAUUAAAAAAAAUGCACUGCUCUUCAGAAGGAGUGCACCCUUUCAUCUGGACAAAACCCAUUAUAUCCCAACACAAACACGAUAGCCGUGAGCUCUCUGCUAGUCUCACGUUGGCUGCUUGUCUCAGCUGGUCUGUUUGUGGUUUAGAUAUCUUGGUGGUCAGAGGGGGCUGCAUUUUCCCUUCCUCUGAAGGAAAUGGCUACUGUUAUUACCCUGUCAUCAUCUAACUUUGCAAUGUCAGAAGCAGAAAAAGUCAAUAGUGGAAAACAGGUAGCCACGCCAACAGGUGAGAGAUGUUCAAGCCCCCCUCCUCGCUCCCCCCAGUGCCUGCACCAGAAGCACGCAGAAGUCUGACACAACAGCUAAGAGCAGGACAGGAUUUCGCAUUCAUUUAGUAAUUCCCUUGGGGUUAUACUCUUAGAUGACUUAAUGACUUAGUGUAUACCCUGUCUGGAAGAUAAGCAGGCAUAAUUCAUUGCAGGCAGGUCAUUCAUCCUUUGAGAUAACCAGCAACUACACGCCAUAGGCAGCAGGGAGAUAAAGAUACUAUACAUCAGCAGCAGUAGUUCAAGGUUUCAACCUCUCCGCCUCCUUCUGUGACCCAGAAGUCAUUUGCAGUUGAUUAUUCAGCCAUUUGCUUUCUUUAGAGAGAAAUACACUGGCACCAGUUGGCUGAAGCACAGCAAAAGAAAUAGCAAGUACGAGACUUUUGAUACGGACAUAUGAUGGCCGUGGUGUGAUUCACAGUUUGUGAUGUUGCUCUAUUUGAGGAGGAGUGGAGGGAGAGAAAGAAAAGUCUAUUUUUGUUUGUUUGUUUUCUAAUUACUUGAGCUAUUUUUUCUUUGACUCAGCAGCUCUGGACAGUACAUACUGUACUACUGUAACCGGCAGUUCAGGGCUGGGAGGUCGAAUGAUGGUGACGAUAAAAGUAAAUAUCCUGCAUUCUCAGAGGGAUUAGGAGGAGAUGGAAGAAUUAGUCUCAUUAUGGUUUUGUGUGGUGUCACAGUCCCUAUUUGCAUCAAUGCUAUCCUGUAUGUAAUCUUUAGACCUGCAUUUCUCCAGUGAAGUACUAAAAACAAACAAGAAAUCGGAAUAGUUUUACUUUCACAUAUUUUUUCAUUUACAAACCCCAUUUGUUUAGAUGAUGAAAACACUCACCUUGCACAAGAAAACAUGCUGCAAAGAAAACAAAGGUGUCUUCUUGUUUUCAGUAGUGCUUAUGGCCUGUUUGGAGAGCGUCUUAAGAACAGAGCGAAGAGUGAUUUUGAUUGAUGCGAAAUAAUUUGAUAAUUGACAUGAAAAAGUUUGAUUGACAUGAAAUACCCAGUACCACAUGAUGCUUUCUUGUCAGUCUGCAUGCUACACAGUAAGAGUUGUACUCAUCAUGGCACACCUUUGCUUGGUUGUCUCAUUCAAAACAGUUUGAAUCCCAACUUCCAAGGUGAGCCCUUACUACUUUUAAAGGUGUUAAGCUGCAUUUGUGUUUUCACGUAAGGAAACCCUCAAGCCUGUAAUGGAUUGCAAGGGCUUCUGUCUGCAAGGGGAAGAAAUGCAGCCUGUGGACUGCUUUGUGCAGGAAGGGAUGCUCGCUAACACACUUGUCAUCUUCAUGUUCUGUGCCAACCUGCUUUGUUAAUACAAGACAUUCACAUGUCAGGAUAUAUUUAAUACAAGACUUUCUGGCUCCUUGAGGGAAAAGCCUCACUUUAGCAAGAGUAAUUCACUAAAGUUAGUUGGGUGUGAAUUUUAAGCAGGAUAUCCAGGCAGAGGAGUUGGUGUUGAAGGUCACUGGGGAGCAGAUUCCAGAGACCUUUCAAAGAUGCACGGCCCCUCAAGAACUGGGAAUUGAAAACUGUUUCUUACUCUAUCUUACAGGCUAAAAGCCCUGCAAAGCACAUUCUUCCCUUUUCCAAUGUGCUCUUCCGAGAAGUUCCAAGCAAUGAGGAGGCUUUGUGGAAAGACAGUGGGGUUCUUGGGAAGGAUGGGCUUCCCACCCAGUUUUUGCAUGGGUAGCAGUUCCCAUCUGGUUCCUUUAUAGAGGCUGCUGUUACAGGUUUUUAAUGCUUUAUUCUAUGCUCUUGCUUCCAAUAUUCAUCACAGUACUAGAAAACCUAAAUAUGUCCUCUUGCAGCCUUUAAUUAUGUGAUAAAAGCCAUGUCCAUUUUAAAGCCUAUUCUUUUUCCAGACCGGGUGACCUGUGGAUGGCAUUCUCUUGCGAAGGAAUAGGACUUCACAUUUGCUGUUGCUGGCUUUCCCUUCUUCUCUCUUCCUUACCGUAUUUUUUUCAGCUCUGAAUGGUUCUCUGUGAUUGUAAUUGUGCUAAGUACAUUCGGUAAUGCAGAAGUGACCUAUUUUGUACACAGUUUAGCUGAUUCUGCAGUUGCCUGUAGGGUUUCCUAGCAAUGUUCUUCAGCUGCUCCUUGGCUUACAAAAGCCUGGUAAGUUAAGCAUGGCCAGCGCAACAUACUGGAUGCAAGGAAAGUUCAAGGUAAUAGGGGAGGAUGAGCCAUACAGGUAUGAAUGGGUUGGACCGAGUGUUUAUAAGGCAAGGUGGAGGCCUCUGGAACAGAUUGGGACGACUAGAAUAGAUGUCAUUAAAUGUAUUAAACUGUUGGAGGUCCUUUGUACAAGUUUGUUAAUAUCCAGUGACAUGGCCAGAUAUUGUGCCCCUGUAGGCCCAGCAGUUAAUGUAUGAUACCUCUGGCAUCUGAGGUACAUACUCAACUAUAAAAAAAUAGAUGAGCUGGGACCCAUUACCAUAAACAGUGUCUGCAGUACUAGGCCUGGUAACAGAUUGUUCUGUGCCUCAUUAACAAGGAGAUAGCGCUGUCAGAGGAGUCAAUGCUUCAUUUUGCCGUGUUUGCUACAUAAUCAGUUAAUUUUGCUUAAUAGUGGAUUGCGUCACAGAUGUGCAAAAGGGCAGAGUCACUUCACUUUCCGCAUAAAACCUCCACUCUGGUGCAGCUGCAAUUUUAACGGAGCGUGUUAGCAGGCAAGCUGACUUCAGCCGGUGUCCCUGCCUUACCCCCGUCCUGGCUUCUCCCAGCAGUGCUCUGGCCAAGCUCCAUGCUUGUAAGGAUGCAAGGUAAAAGUUCCUCAGACUAGAAAUUAGAUACAGGUCUAUAUGAGGGUGGUCAUUCAAUGUCUGCUGUGCUUGUGCCUUUUUUUUUUUUUUUUUUUUUUUUUAAAUCUUAUAUAAGGUGCUGUCAAAGACUUCCCCACGUUUCAUUGGGAAGUACUUUAGUGCCUGUCUUUCAUCUAAGAAUUACUUAGAAUAUGAAAGUUAGCAAGACUGAUUUCUAACGAGAUGAAUCCAAAUACGUCUAUCUUAACGUGGAUCUUUACAUUUUACUGCCCCUUGAGUGCAGCUUUUGGAAAGAUGACUAACAAGUCAAAUACUGCAAGACAAAAUAUGUGGAGAAGCCGAGUUUAGACCACUGUUUAGGGACAGAUUAUUAGAGAUUACAACUCAAGGUUUUAGAAGAUCAGCAUAUUACACAGUAAUAUGGCAUAUCCAACAAUUACUGCUAAUCGUAUACUCCUUAAAUUUGUAGUGAAACUGGGUAUGUGUAAAUGGUGUUCUUCAGAUGAAAAUUAAUAUAUUCAAAAUAAGUAAGUAUGUUCUGUACUCAACAUAUCCCAGUCUGAGAGUAUUAUAGGGAUCUAAAAAUAACUGAGUUUAUAAACUCUGUUUAUAACAGAGUUGUAUAAACUUCUUGCUUAAAAAAAAAAAAACCAAACAUGCAAAAAGUAAUCCUAGAUGUGUGAAGGGCCCCUGUUUAGAAAAAUAGGUAGACAUGUAAUUAAGUUCAUCUUUCUUCAGAAAAGCAGGCAGGCACCUGCUUAAAUGUAAAUGUGCUUAAGUUGUGUUUACUUCAAGAAAUACUUAAGUACAUUUGAAGUUAAUCAUCUACACAAAAGACUUUCCCCAAUAAAGACUUGCAUACACACAAAGGGGGGGAAGGCGCUUCAAAACUUAAGUAUGAUUAUAGGUGUGAGUGAUGGGUUUGAUUUUAGAAGAACCUGAAGGAAGUAAGUGCACAAAUCUAAUUGAAAUUCAAUGAGUCUGGAGCAUCUAAUUGUCUUGGGUCCCUCUGAAAGCCUCAGCCUCUUUUAAAUGCUAACAGCUGAGGGAGGUGCUGGCUCUUAUGAACUGAUUUCACAUUAGCACACCAACACAUUGCUGGAUGUUUCUCCCCAGAUGCUCAGUGUGGGAAUGUAACCCUCUGUGUAUGGUGUCUCCAGUAUUGCCAAAUACUGGUGUCGCUUUGAAUGUUUUUAUGAACUAAAAAACUACAUCAAAAUGCCAGUGUAUUUACAAACUUCAGUAUUCAUCACUCAGGGAGAAUUGCAGAAGGUAAGGGGGGGGGAAUGGUGGUUCAAUUGCAGUGCUAUGAAGUUGUGAGCAGAAGAGCCUUUUGGAAGCUAGCAGGGUCCAGGUGAGAUUUUUAAUUAAUAGGUUCCUGACCUGGCCCCCUACCUUAGUCCAGGCAUCCUACACAGGAAGAUUUGGAUCUAAAUUUUGUAUUUUUCUCUUUCUCCACUUUGGAAAGUUGAACCAAAACUUUUCAAAAAAUCCGUGAAUUUGGCCAAGGUGCUUGGUUGAUUUUAUCUGCAGCCAUGGCUGUAACUUCCCAGCGGAUGUUCCCAUGCUCACAGAGGCUAGCUGCAUGUUAGGGCACAGGGAGGAGGGCCGCUUUCGAGAGCCACAUUUUCCAUGGCUUUGUAAGCUGACCCUAAGAAGGUCUUUGGUUGUCCUGCAUCCUCCCUCCUCUCCCUGCGUCCCCUGUUGUUUCCCAUGUCCUCCCUUUCUCUACCAAUGUCAAUUCUUCUGCUGUUCAGCAGGCCAGUUCAGAGAGCUGAUCUGGCCAAAAUCUGCCAGGAAGGAAAAAAAAAAAAAAAAAAAAGAGGACUGUGGGAGCCCUGUUUGGACCAGUGCCACCCAACAUGAACCUGCCCUCACAUCGUGGUGGUGGAGCUGUGUGUAGGCAGGCAGCUCUCUGGAUGGGGGAACUGCUAAGGGGGGAAAAUGAUACACCAGGACAAAAUCAAGGGUAUUUUUACAUAGGGCUGGUUACCCACUCAUGCAGCCACCUAAGCAUCUCCAGAUAAUCCUGGGGCCCAGUGCAGGGACAGGCCUGGGCAGUGGGAGAAGAGACCCUCUUGAGGCAGCAUUGCCUCUGAAGGACGUGUUCCUCAAAGCACGGCUUUCGUCCUGCUUGGCAGGCACGUGCUUCACAGCUGUAGCAGCAGAGAUGUGAUGCUGUUGCAAACAGAUGCAUUGGGACGUGAAGAUGAAUGCCUUUAAAGAGAAAGGAAGGUUUGGGGGUGACUGGCAUUAGCUUUUAGGACGGUAGGAUGGGAGUCUUGUUAGCGUGCUGUGCCUGGCACGGCCAGCCCUGAUGUUUGAGCUGUGUGGCCCAUGGGGUCCCCGGCCGUGGGCAUGUGCUGCUUCCAAAUUGCACGUUGCUCAAAUCAAAGGGUCUUGUGUAAUGGGGCCUACAGGAUCUCUGGGAUGCCUUUUUUUUUUUUUUUUUUUUA